rnacentral:rRNA from 1 species
UACGAAGGGAGCUAGCGUUGUUCGGAAUCACUGGGCGUAAAGCGCACGUAGGCGGAUGUGUCAGUCAGGGGUGAAAUCCCGGAGCUCAACUUCGGAACUGCCUUUGAUACAGCACGUCUUGAGUCCGAUAGAGGUGGGUGGAAUUCCUAGUGUAGAGGUGAAAUUCGUAGAUAUUAGGAAGAACACCGGUGGCGAAGGCGGCCCACUGGAUCGGUACUGACGCUCAUGUGCGAAAGCGUGGGGAGCAAACAGG